GAUGAACGCUGGCGGCGUGCUUAACACAUGCAAGUCGAACGGAGCUUAUGUGAUAGAGGAUUCGUCCAAUUGAUCAUAAGCUUAGUGGCGGACGGGUGAGUAACGCGUGAGGAAUCUGCCUUGGAGUGGGGAAUAACACAGUGAAAAUUGUGCUAAUACCGCAUAAUGCAGUUGAGUCGCAUGGCUCUGACUGCCAAAGAUUUAUCGCUCUGAGAUGACCUCGCGUCUGAUUAGCUAGUUGGUGAGGUAACGGCUCACCAAGGCGACGAUCAGUAGCCGGACUGAGAGGUUGGCCGGCCACAUUGGGACUGAGACACGGCCCAGACUCCUACGGGAGGCAGCAGUGGGGAAUAUUGGGCAAUGGGGCGCAAGCCUGACCCAGCAACGCCGCGUGAAGGAAGAAGGCUUUCGGGUUGUAAACUUCUUUUGUCAGGGACGAACAAAUGACGGUACCUGACG
rnacentral:rRNA from 1 species